AUCGCUGGAUGGAUGGACCACCCGCCGCUGGAACCGUUCGCUGGCGCUAGCUCGACGGGUCGUCAUAGCACUUUGCUAUGCGUCCGUCACCUUGCUUCGAUGAUCGCCGCGUAGAGCCACCUCUCCACAUGUGUGUUAGCGGAUGUGGCUCACCGUUAGACUUGCGUCCGCACGUGUUAGGCUUAGCUCGCGCACGUUCUCUUUCAGGGCGAACAUUGUUUCAUUGAAAUAAAAUCUGAAGUGUCUUUGUGAUGACAAAACAAAAUGUGCAUGUAUGUGUGCCUGUGUCACUUAUUGAGUCCGUGUCUAUUUACUCGUCUUAUGUAUUGAUUGUCCAUCAAUACAUAAUGUAUACAAAUAUAUUAGUUCGUCUGUUAGGGAGCGCGUUCGAAUCGUGUUACUGUCAGGAUGUUACCGUUUGCCUAAUCAAUUUUUCCUUUUCAGCAUUUCGGUAUUGUUUCGAUGUGGUGCAUUAAUCGUUCUGCUUGUAUUUUUCAGGACUUCACCAUCUACGUUUCACUUUAUAAUGUCGUUUCUUAUUUUACAGCCAUUAUUUCUGAUUUACUGUGCCCCUCACAAUAAUCAAUUUUUCUUUCAGCGUCUAUGCAUUGUUUCGAUGUGGCGCAUUAAUAAUUCUGUCCAUUGUUGUCCAUCAGUAUACAUAAUAUAUUGGUUCGUCUAUCCGCCGUACGUUAGGGUGUCGGCGCUAGUCAAUAUUGUUGGUGUUGUCCUAAUUCAUCUUUCCUUUUCAGCAUUUCCGUUAUUGGUUCGAUGUGGUACAUUAAUCGUUCUGCUUGUAUUUUCCAGGUUUUCACCACCUUCGUUUAUUUUACUGCAAUUACCACUGUUUGUGUCAUUUCAUUCCUUAAUCCCAAAGAUAAUCUGUUUGUCUUCCAGCUUUUAUGCACUGAUUAAUCAUUCUGCUCAGAUUUACAGGUCUUCACACAUUUGUAUUUACUGUUAUAGUGUCUUAUCACUUGACUGCUACAUUAUUACUGUUAUUUCAUUGUUUAUCAUUUUUCUUAGGUGCCACAAAAAUAUGUGAAUAUAUACAGGCUCUGAUGCAGCCAUGAAGACUUAUCAAACUGCUACGGAAAUGUAUAUCUGUACAGAUGCCACGAUGCAGCCCUGAAUAAGUACGAACUGUGUCACUAAAAACUGGCAGAAUAUGAAUGAAAACACAGAAGGAACGCUUUGUCAGUCAGUAUGCCUGUGUCUGGUUACAAGGAUCAGUUUUCUAUCUAUGUGGUGCCUUGAUAGCUCUGCUUUAUGUUUCAGAACCCAGUUAUCUGUGCCACUUGCUGUUCCUGAUGGGUUCCUGUAGCGUUCAGUUUGUUGUUGUAUUGAAGUUUUGCAGUUACUGUCUAGCCCUUUGUUUGUUUCAGGUGGGUGUCGUUCUGGCUAGCACCAGGGACUUUUCCAGCUUCCUGCCCCAUCCCAAGGACGUUACAACACCAUCCCCCCAACCCAAAAACAGCAGAAACAGGCGUCCACAAAUCCAUGGCUUGCAUAGGUCCAAUGCUACAAGAAAGUUUCUGCACCAGGAGCUUGGAACUUGGAAGCUGCUCGUUUGGAUUGCUCAGCACAAGUUGAAGUAUGUUGUACGAGAAUGCAGCCAACGGAAAUAAAAGGAAGUCGUCACCAAGUUCCUGGACCAGGAGCUACCAAAGUCAACCGUACAAGAUCCAAAGGAUGAACCUCAAGUGGAUGCAGCCCGUGGACCCACAGACACUGUCGCUGUACUUCAAGCACCUUCAGUCUACAAGCAUCAUGCAGCCAUCACUGCAGUCUUGUUCUCAACCCCUCAUGUACAGCAUACCGUUACUUUUCUAUCGUGUAACGAGCGUAAUGGAAAUGAACUUUGACCAGAGACUUGGAGUGGUCGGACAUUGCUUCAUACCAGCUGAACCCUGUGGACAUUGAGAUGGCUGCGAAAGUAGCUCCUACCCGCACUAGGCUACAUGUUGUCGUAGACAUGAAAUAUAGCUGUAAGAUUAUUCCCCAUAGUUUCCUACACACUAAUGCAUACUGCUCCAAAGAUUGUAUAUGUGUUCCCCUUUUAUCCCACAUUGCUUCACUGCUGCUUAGCCCACCUAUGUUCGAAUGAUGCUCAACCAUUUUUGUAUGUUGCACGAAUGUUUUGCAUGUAUGUGUGUGUGCAUUCACGUGUACAAGCCAUGCAUUUCAAACCAGGGCACAAACAUUGAACUGCUCUGCGAGAGUAAAUUUUUUUAAUCCCAUCUGCACAGCUUCAGGCUAUUACGCAUGGUGGUGUGCACGUGAAAAUAUGUGUGUGUGUGUGCAUGUGUGUACGUACGGCAAAUGCUGAAGUGGCUCUUUACACUACUAACCCCCUUUCAAUGGUGGAAUGUCAUUUGCUGGGUGGACUAGUGUUGCAGUGAAGUCGGCGACAGUUUGGUUUUCAAAUGAUCAGGUUGGAUCCGCCUGGUUGUUUGAAAAGGCAGCUGAUUAUUUCCCAAAUAUCCCCUCAGUGUUGUUGUUAUCUACAGAUGCCUAUUGUUAUGAUUAAAUGAUGUAUAAUGUUUGAUUCCUUUCUGUGUAGUAAACAGUUCAUUGUCAGUGCUUUAAUUAGGUGUCUUCACAUAGUGCUUUUCAUGUUCUAGUGCUAUAUAAAUAAUGAAAACUUAAAAGUUGUCAAGGGCUCCUACCUUAUUUGGAAAACUUUUGUGUGUAACAUAAUGAUUGAUUCCUUUCUGUACAUUAGUUAGAUGUCUCCACCUAGUGUUUUUCAUGUUCUGUUGCCACAUAAAUAAUGAAAAAUUAAGUUGUCAAUGGGUUGUACCUUAUGUGGAGACCUGUUUUCUGUAUAAUAUAAAUAUUUUACGAUUCAUUCCUUUGUGUACAUUAAAUAGUUCAUUGUCAGUAUCUAAUGAGGUGACUUGUUUUGUGUUCUGAUGCUAUUGUGUAUGCUAUACAAAUAACCAAAAAUUAAAAGUUGUGAACGGUGUUUCUUUAUCAGGAAACCUUUCUCUGUACUUGAACUAGGACGUAAAAGAAUGCUCCGCAACCAUAUUCAAUAAACAUGGCUCAAUGGCCUUGAUUGUUGCAUUUUUCUAAAUUUUGUCUUCCUCAGUAGCCCUAUGGGUAUUGCGACCCUGUUGCUAUAGUUUCAGACAGCUAGUGUUCCUGUGUAUGCCACAACUCUGCCCUAUAAUUGGUCAACAGAAGCUAACCAAUGCAGUCUAAAGGAAACCUCCAUGAUUCCCUUCUGGUGCCUUUGUCGUAAGAGAUAUCAAGUCAGGAGUGAGAGAUUCCUUGUGCCACCUGCUUCAGUCAGCCAAACACCACAGAGAAAUUUGAGCCAAAAACCUACCACAAGUGGCUGCUUUUGUGGAUGAAGUGGCUUGCUACUGUUGCAGUAGGCAGUAAAAGUGUCGUUGAGAAUGGCAGGACAACUAAUUCCGCGUCACACUUAGCAGUGGCCAGAACUUGUUUGCUCUAGAAUUUAUGAAUGUGUGCAAAUACCACCAUGUACCAGUUUGAAAUAUCUUGCAUAAACUUUGUGCAAUGAAAAUAAUAAAGAUUCAAUGCUUUCU